ensembl:lncRNA
GCAACAAAAAAUACUUUGUGCUGGAGCAUCAGUAAUUUCAUGACUGGAGUUACUUUAAAUAAAGGACAUGAAGUAGGCAUGGGGUCAUCUACCUUUAUGAAUCAGGAUUACCCCAACCCUUCCUCCCCUAAUCAUAGAAUGGCCUGGGUUGAAAAGGACCAUAAUGAUCAUCUAGUUUAAACCCCCAGCUGUGUGCAGGGUCACCAACCACUAGACCAGGCUGCCCAGAGCCACAUCCAGCCUGGGCUUGAAUGCCUCCAGGGAUGGGGCAUCCAGAACUUCCUUGGGCAACCUGUUCCAAUGGGAUGGGUGGUAAUAAAAGAGGCAGAGGCUUACAUGGAAUACAGUGAUAAAGUUGCCUGUAGAGUCACAUGAAAGAGGGGACUCCCAUUGUUAGUUGCAGCUGAGAAUGAGGUCUUCUUUGAUCACAAAGCCAGGUGGGAGGAAUAUAUCCUAACCUGUUUCACAGCAGCAGAGUCUUUCUUCUCUGCUGUCACCUUCAGGACAGGUUCAGCUGCAUCUAGCACUUGGGGUUGUGGCACAGGAGAAGGACCACAGUGCGGUGCUGUGCAAAUGUCUGAGAUAAAGACUGGGCCACAGCUUAUCAAGAGGAAAGGGACAGCAGAGCCCUCUGUUCCAGUACUGCGUGCUUAUUUUCUUACAGGAGUUGCUGCAUUCACCAUCCCCAAUUCUCCAGCCUCUUUUGUGAAAACCCAGUUGAAAUCAUGCUGCCCUGACUGGAGGGUAUCGCACCUUCCGACAAAACAUCAUAAGGAGCAAAGAACUACUAUUUCUCAGUGAUCCAGCCCAUAAAUCAAUCCUCAAAUUUCUUUGCAAGGAUGGUAUGAGAUUCCACGAGUGUUCUCUGCUUUCGUAUUCUAAAGACAGGCUGUGUCCUCAGAAAAAAAAAGAAAGGAAAAAAAAAAAGAACCAGGACUGGCUAAAUCAUUUCAGGGCCUGACUGAUCUUAUCAGGACCUCCCUUGCUGCAACGAUAAUUUGAGACUGUCAGAAAUUGCCACCUUUAUCUGAUGGGUGGUCCCACCAACUGCUCUGUUAUCAGAGCCCAGCUGCACAAGGAAAACAGGAUGUGGCAUGACCUUGGUAUCCCAGCACCUGACAUCAGUAUCUAAUCUGUCAGAUGUCUCACUGAAGCUGUCUUGAGAUGCUGUACAUGCCCCCUCUGGCACCAAGUCAUUCAAAAGACGUUUGCUUCACACUUGUGUUAGCCCACCAGCGCACACAGAGUACGUCCUGGUGCAUCACUGCCCUGCCUGCUAGUGUAGUGACACUUGAGUUUUAAGGUGUUUUUCUGCAAAGCUUUGUCAGCCUUUCUCCUGGAAAGCUUGCUUUGCAGGACUGUAACCCAGCUAGCAACAAUUCAGCAUCCAAAUUUGACCUCCAAAUUCAUUUCAUUGGUUUUCCAUGUUUUAAUCAGGCUAUACAUUACAUGUCUGUUAGUAUAGUUAAUAUUACCUAAGAAUACCACAACGUAGGCACUGCCUCAUAGCCAGUACAAGGAAGAACAUGAGUGUUGCUGUUACAAAUAAUUAUCCCCGUCUCUCUUGCCUGCUUGAUCCUUUGCAGAGGUUGAGACCACCUAAGAAAACUCCUCUUGAAAGAGUACGGUCAUUGCCAUAGCUCUGUGCUGCCUGGUUCUACAGGUGUGGUACAAAUGGUGUGCUGAAGGAGGAGCCGGGGCUCAAAACACGUGAGAUCAUCAGGCAAGCAAGAAAAAAGGCUGCAAAAUGUGAAACCAAAAGCGCAGAGAAAUUAACCAUCCAGGGAAGAUCAGAGUGCUAUAGUAUGUCAUUUCUGAAAGAGAAGAUGUGGAUUUUCUGUUUCAAUAUUAUGGCUUUUCAUUCCUUUAUAUGGGUACAUUUAUUAUACAUUUUUUUAGGGGGAUGAAUUUAGAAUUAGAAUCAAACCUUUUGAUUCUGUUAAGCAAAAGCCUUUGAUAUGACCCCAAUUUCCCUUUUUUUUUUUUCCCCCUGGGAAUUACCGCAGCUUCCCCCCCCCCCCCCGAGAAAAUCUUCUGAAACUUCAAAUUUUUUUCACAAACAGCAACUGAUUUGUCUAUCACCUCUGCUACAUGCAGUGAUUGCUGAUGGGGGUCUUAGAUAUGUUCUUCCCACAUAGUAACCAGGCACAAAUUCUAGCAUUUCUAUCCACAGAAAGCAUCAGAAAAGGAUGAAAGUUCAUUGCAGGAAAUGGCUCUCACAAGCUCUGUGAGUGGAGGUUUACCUGUGCAGUGAAUAGGGUUUGGCAAUUAUCAAGCAAACUGACAAACCAGUGCCAAGCCUUGGUUUGUUGCUGCUGUUCAAAAAUGCCAAGACACUGAAUUCCACAAUGUCUGUGACAACUUAAGCAUGUAAGUCUUGAAUUUCAGUCUUUGCAGAAGUUGCAAAUUUUAUUUUCAGUGCUAGUAUUCCCCAUUCCCCUUUAAAUAACAGUAGUAAUAUAGACAGGAGGAAGAUGUACAAGAAUUUCCCCUAUAUUUUUAUUCCUUUUCUUUUAACAAAGGACUUUGCUUCCUCUUGUUAAACCGAUCAGAGUGAUAGAGCUUGCUCUCUCCUAAAGCCAGUUCUAAACAUCGUUAAGGAUGACCACAGGAAUCAUUACUGUAUUUAUUUAUUUUUCCCAAAUAAAAUAUUUAACAUGUUUGGGCUCUGGCUGUCU